rnacentral:rRNA from 1 species
AGUGGCGAACGGGUGAGUAACACGUGGGUAACCUGCCCAGAAGUAGGGGAUAACACCUGGAAACAGAUGCUAAUACCGUAUAACAGAGAAAACCGCAUGGUUUUCUUUUAAAAGAUGGCUCUGCUAUCACUUCUGGAUGGACCCGCGGCGUAUUAGCUAGUUGGUGAGGUAAAGGCUCACCAAGGCAGUGAUACGUAGCCGACCUGAGAGGGUAAUCGGCCACAUUGGGACUGAGACACGGCCCAGACUCCUACGGGAGGCAGCAGUAGGGAAUCUUCCACAAUGGACGCAAGUCUGAUGGAGCAACGCCGCGUGAGUGAAGAAGGGUUUCGGCUCGUAAAGCUCUGUUGUUAAAGAAGAACGUGGGUAAGAGUAACUGUUUACCCAGUGACGGUAUUUAACCAGAAAGCCACGGCUAACUACGUGCCAGCAGCCGCGGUAAUACGUAGGUGGCAAGCGUUAUCCGGAUUUAUUGGGCGUAAAGCGAGCGCAGGCGGUCUUUUAAGUCUAAUGUGAAAGCCUUCGGCUCAACCGAAGAAGUGCAUUGGAAACUGGGAGACUUGAGUGCAGAAGAGGACAGUGGAACUCCAUGUGUAGCGGUGAAAUGCGUAGAUAUAUGGAAGAACACCAGUGGCGAAGGCGGCUGUCUGGUCUGCAACUGACGCUGAGGCUCGAAAGCAUGGGUAGCGAACAGGAUUAGAUACCCUGGUAGUCCAUGCCGUAAACGAUGAUUACUAAGUGUUGGAGGGUUUCCGCCCUUCAGUGCUGCAGCUAACGCAUUAAGUAAUCCGCCUGGGGAGUACGACCGCAAGGUUGAAACUCAAAAGAAUUGACGGGGGCCCGCACAAGCGGUGGAGCAUGUGGUUUAAUUCGAAGCUACGCGAAGAACCUUACCAGGUCUUGACAUCUUCUGACAGUCUAAGAGAUUAGAGGUUCCCUUCGGGGACAGAAUGACAGGUGGUGCAUGGUUGUCGUCAGCUCGUGUCGUGAGAUGUUGGGUUAAGUCCCGCAACGAGCGCAACCCUUAUUACUAGUUGCCAGCAUUAAGUUGGGCACUCUAGUGAGACUGCCGGUGACAAACCGGAGGAAGGUGGGGACGACGUCAAAUCAUCAUGCCCCUUAUGACCUGGGCUACACACGUGCUACAAUGGAUGGUACAACGAGUCGCGAGACCGCGAGGUUAAGCUAAUCUCUUAAAACCAUUCUCAGUUCGGACUGUAGGCUGCAACUCGCCUACACGAAGUCGGAAUCGCUAGUAAUCGCGGAUCAGCAUGCCGCGGUGAAUACGUUCCCGGGCCUUGUACA